rnacentral:rRNA from 1 species
UGGGGAGUAUUGGACAAUGGGCGCAAGCCUGAUCCAGCCAUGCCGCGUGGAUGAAGAAGGCCCUAGGGUUGUAAAAUCCUUUCGCUAGGGAAGAUAAUGACGGUACCUAGUAAAGAAGCCCCGGCUAAUUUCGUGCCAGCAGCCGCGGUAAUACGAAAGGGGCUAGCGUUGUUCGGAAUUACUGGGCGUAAAGCGCACGUAGGCGGCCUUGUAAGUUGGGGGUGAAAUCCCGGAGCUCAACUCCGGAACUGCCUCCAAAACUACAAAGCUAGAGGAUGUGAGAGGUGAGUGGAAUUCCGAGUGUAGAGGUGAAAUUCGUAGAUAUUCGGAAGAACACCAGUGGCGAAGGCGACUCACUGGCACAUUUCUGACGCUGAGGUGCGAAAGCGUGGGGAGCAAACAGGAUUAGAUACCCCCGUAGUCC